rnacentral:rRNA from 1 species
UACGGAGGAGGCAAGCAUUGUCCGGAAUUAUUGGGCGUAAAGAACACGUAGGUGGUUUUUCAAGUCAUGUGUGAAAACUUUGGGCUCAACUCAAAGAUUGCAUAUGAUACUGAUUAACUAGAGUACAGUAGAGGAAAGUGGAAUUCCUGGUGUAGCGGUGAAAUGCGCAGAUAUCAGGAAGAACACCGGUGGCGAAAGCGGCUUUCUGGACUGUUACUGACGCUGAGGUGUGAAAGCUAGGGGAGCGAACAGG